rnacentral:rRNA from 1 species
ACGUCGACCGGCGCACGGGUGAGUAUCGCGUAUCCAACCUGCCCCUUACUUGGGGAUACCCCGUUGAAAGACGGCCUAAUACCCGAUGUGUUUCAUUGACGGCAUCCGAUAUGAAACAAAGGUUUUCCGGUAAGGGAUGGGGAUGCGUCUGAUUAGCUAGUUGGCGGGGCAACGGCCCACCAAGGCGACGAUCAGUAGGGGUUCUGAGAGGAAGGUCCCCCACAUUGGAACUGAGACACGGUCCAAACUCCUACGGGAGGCAGCAGUGAGGAAUAUUGGUCAAUGGACGCAAGUCUGAACCAGCCAAGUAGCGUGCAGGAUGACGGCCCUAUGGGUUGUAAACUGCUUUUAUGUGGGAAUAAAUUGGCGCACGUGUGCGC